AGGGUAUUGGCUUACCGUGGCAGUGACGGGUAACGGAGGAUUAGGGUUCGAUUCCGGAGAGGGAGCCUGAGAAACGGCUACCACAUCUAAGGAAGGCAGCAGGCGCGCAAAUUACCCAAUGAAAACAGUUUCGAGGUAGUGACGAGAAAUAACAAUACAGAGCAUUAAAUGUUUUGUAAUUGGAAUGGUGGGAAUCUAAACCCCUUUCAGAGUAACAAUUGGAGGGAAAGUCUGGUGCCAGCAGCCGCGGUAAUUCCAGCUCCAAUAGCGUAUAUUUGAGUUGUUGCAGUUAAAAAGCUCGUAGUUGGAUUUCUGUGUCGGUUCUCGCGGAUGCAAUGUA
rnacentral:rRNA from 1 species